rnacentral:rRNA from 1 species
UACGUAGGGGGCAAGCGUUGUCCGGAUUUAUUGGGCGUAAAGCGCUCGCAGGUGGUUCGUUGCGUCGUGCGUGAAAGACCCCGGCUCAACUGGGGAACGUCGUGCGAUACGGGCGGACUGGAGGCCAGUAGGGGGAUGCGGAAUUCCGGGUGUAGUGGUGGAAUGCGUAGAGAUCCGGAGGAACACCAGCGGCGAAGGCGGCAUCCUGGACUGGUCCUGACACUCAUGAGCGAAAGCGUGGGGAGCGAUCCGG